CAUAUGUCCAACAGCUCAGUGUGGGGACCUAGGGACUGUUGAAUUUGGCCCCGCAUGUUUUGAAGAGGAACAUAUAUGUGAGAUGCCUUCAGCCAACAUUCCUGGCAACAAAUGGAUAAAUGCCUUUGUCCGGAAAGUUUGAUUUGAGUGGCAUGCCUCAGCUUCUACUACAUUGCUAAAACGUCACAGAAACUACGACAAAUGAAGGACAAGAAUGGUAAGAAUGGUGUGCAGGAACAUGUGAAUACAAAAAGCAACUGUUGCUUUUGAAGAUAUGAAGAUCUAAAUGCUUUCCUUCAAUUGUACAAGAACUAAAGUGAAACCUGAUAUCCAUGAACUGUGUCUUCUAUAUCUACCAACAAGCAAUGAGGCUUAGAGUCCUGAAAUGAUAAAAGUUGACUAACCAAGGCUGCCAGAGCAUUUAUAAGCAGAAGUUUGACGAGCUUUUAUCAUUUGAGUUGAUGCAUUCAAAAGCAAGCUGAAACUAAUAUAGGAACUUUUUUUCCCAUGUGAUUUAAUCCAAGUCUGGGCUCACAAUGGAAAAAUACGGAAACAGUGCUCAAGUGUAAAGGAUCGACAAGAAAACAAAAC
ensembl:lncRNA